rnacentral:rRNA from 1 species
GGGACACGUGGUAUCCUGUCUGAAUAUGGGGGGACCAUCCUCCAAGGCUAAAUACUCCUGACUGACCGAUAGUGAACCAGUACCGUGAGGGAAAGGCGAAAAGAACCCCGGCGAGGGGAGUGAAAAAGAACCUGAAACCGUGUACGUACAAGCAGUGGGAGCACGCUUAGGCGUGUGACUGCGUACCUUUUGUAUAAUGGGUCAGCGACUUAUAUUCUGUAGCAAGGUUAACCGAAUAGGGGAGCCGAAGGGAAACCGAGUCUUAACUGGGCGUUAAGUUGCAGGGUAUAGACCCGAAACCCGGUGAUCUAGCCAUGGGCAGGUUGAAGGUUGGGUAACACUAACUGGAGGACCGAACCGACUAAUGUUGAAAAAUUAGCGGAUGACUUGUGGCUGGGGGUGAAAGGCCAAUCAAACCGGGAGAUAGCUGGUUCUCCCCGAAAGCUAUUUAGGUAGCGCCUCGUGAAUUCAUCUCCGGGGGUAGAGCACUGUUUCGGCAAGGGGGUCAUCCCGACUUACCAACCCGAUGCAAACUGCGAAUACCGGAGAAUGUUAUCACGGGAGACACACGGCGGGUGCUAACGUCCGUCGUGAAGAGGGAAACAACCCAGACCGCCAGCUAAGGUCCCAAAGUCAUGGUUAAGUGGGAAACGAUGUGGGAAGGCCCAGACAGCCAGGAUGUUGGCUUAGAAGCAGCCAUCAUUUAAAGAAAGCGUAAUAGCUCACUGGUCGAGUCGGCCUGCGCGGAAGAUGUAACGGGGCUAAACCAUGCACCGAAGCUGCGGCAGCGACGCUUAUGCGUUGUUGGGUAGGGGAGCGUUCUGUAAGCCUGCGAAGGUGUGCUGUGAGGCAUGCUGGAGGUAUCAGAAGUGCGAAUGCUGACAUAAGUAACGAUAAAGCGGGUGAAAAGCCCGCUCGCCGGAAGACCAAGGGUUCCUGUCCAACGUUAAUCGGGGCAGGGUGAGUCGACCCCUAAGGCGAGGCCGAAAGGCGUAGUCGAUGGGAAACAGGUUAAUAUUCCUGUACUUGGUGUUACUGCGAAGGGGGGACGGAGAAGGCUAUGUUGGCCGGGCGACGGUUGUCCCGGU